GAGGAUGAGAUGGUUGCCUAGUCUAUUCUACUGUUGCUAUUGCUCCUGCUUUGCCACCCUGGGACUUGUGGUCCCUGUCAGGUUGCUGAUGUGA
rnacentral:lncRNA from 1 species